rnacentral:rRNA from 1 species
AUACGUAGGUGACAAGCGUUAUCCGGAUUUACUGGGCGUAAAGGGCGUGUAGGCGGUCUUGCAAGUCAGAAGUGAAAUUCCUGAGCUCAACUCGGGCGCUGCUUCUGAAACUGCAGGACUUGAGUGCUGGAGGGGAUAGCGGAAUUCCUAGUGGAGCGGUAAAAUGCGCAGAUAUUAGGAAGAACUCCGAUUGCGAAGGCAAUCCGCUGGGGCACGUCUGACGCUGAUGCUCGAAGGUGCGGGAAUCAAACAGGAUUAGAUACCCUGGUAGUCCGCACGGUAAACGAUGAUUACCCGCUGUCGGCGGCAGACAGUCGGCGGCCAAGCGAAAGCGAUAAGUAAUCCACCUGGGGAGUACGCCGGCAACGGUGAAACUCAAAUGAAUUGACGGGG